rnacentral:rRNA from 1 species
AACGAACGCUGGCGGCAUGCCUAACACAUGCAAGUCGAACGAGACCUUCGGGUCUAGUGGCGCACGGGUGCGUAACGCGUGGGAACCUGCCAUUAGGUUCGGAAUAACUCACCGAAAGGGGUGCUAAUACCGGAUAAUGUCUUCGGACCAAAGAUUUCUCGCCUUUGGAUGGGCCCGCGUUGGAUUAGCUAGUUGGUAGGGUAAACGCCUACCAAGGCGACGAUCCAUAGCUGGUCUGAGAGGAUGAGCAGCCACACUGGGACUGAGACACGGCGCAGACUCCUACGGGAUGCAGCAGUGGGGAAUAUUGGAAAAUGGGCGAAAGGCUGAUCCAGCAAUGCCGGGUGAGUGAUGAAGGCCGUAGAGUUGUAUAGCUCUUUUACCCGGGAUGAUAAUGACGGUACCGGGAGAAUAAGCUCCGGCUAACUCCGUG